rnacentral:tRNA from 1 species
CGACGCGUCGGGCAGCGGUUUCGGCGCCAGCUCGUUCAAGUCGAGCGAGAACGCUUCGUUGCGACGGAGCACGUCGAC